GAAAUCAAGUUUUAGAUUAAUUAAAAUAAAAAACAAAAUCAAAUUUUCAAAAUAUAGAAUUCUUAAUUCAAAAGAAAUCAGAUUAAAAAAAAUAAUAUCAAAAUUUAAAAUAAAAAAAAACAUCAAGAAAAGCAAAAAAAAUAGAUUAAAGAGAGAAAAUUACAUGUUAAAAUAUACGGUGAUAAAUUUAUUUAUUUUUUAAAAAUUAAAGGCCCC
rnacentral:lncRNA from 1 species